rnacentral:rRNA from 1 species
AAGUGUUUGUGAUGAUGCAAUCUACCCGCGGCUAGACGGAAAGACCCCAUGAACCUUUACUGUAGCUUUGCAUUGGACUUUGAACCGAUCUGUGUAGGAUAGGUGGGAGGCUAUGAAACCGGAACGCUAGUUUCGGUGGAGCCGUCCUUGAAAUACCACCCUGGUUUGUUUGAGGUUCUAACCUUGGCCCGUGAUCCGGGUCGGGGACAGUGCAUGGUAGGCAGUUUGACUGGGGCGGUCUCCUCCCAAAGCGUAACGGAGGAGUACGAAGGUACGCUAGGUACGGUCGGAAAUCGUGCUGAUAGUGCAAUGGCAUAAGCGUGCUUAACUGCGAGACCGACAAGUCGAGCAGGUGCGAAAGCAGGUCAUAGUGAUCCGGUGGUUCUGUAUGGAAGGGCCAUCGCUCAACGGAUAAAAGGUACUCUGGGGAUAACAGGCUGAUACCGCCCAAGAGUUCAUAUCGACGGCGGUGUUUGGCACCUCGAUGUCGGCUCAUCUCAUCCUGGGGCUGUAGCCGGUCCCAAGGGUAUGGCUGUUCGCCAUUUAAAGAGGUACGUGAGCUGGGUUUAAAACGUCGUGAGACAGUUUGGUCCCUAUCUGCCGUGGGCGUUGGAUAUUUGAAGGGGGCUGCUCCUAGUACGAGAGGACCGGAGUGGACGAACCUCUGGUGUACCGGUUGUCACGCCAGUGGCAUCGCCGGGUAGCUAUGUUCGGAAGAGAUAACCGCUGAAAGCAUCUAAGCGGGAAACUCGCCUUAAGAUGAGAUAUCCCUGGGGACUAGAUCCCCUUGAAGGGUCGUUCGAGACCAGGACGUUGAUAGGUCAGGUGUGUAAGCGCAGUAAUGCGUUCAGCUAACUGAUACUAAUUGCCCGUAAGGCUUGAUCCUAUAACA